AAGAUUAUAAGUUAAACAAACUACUAUCCUUCAAAGAUAUAAAUACUUUAUAGUUAAUCUUG
rnacentral:tRNA from 1 species